UACGUAGGGGGCAAGCAUUGUCCGGAAUCAUUGGGCGUAAAGCGCGUGUAGGCGGCUCGGUAAGUCCGCUCUGAAAGUCCAGGGCUCAACCCUGGGAUGCGGGUGGAUACUGCCGGGCUCGAGUCCGGAAGAGGCGAGUGGAAUUUCCAGUGGAGCGGUGAAAUGCGUAGAUAUUGGAAAGACCACCAAUGGCGAAGGCACUCUACUGGGCCAGUACUGACACUGAGGGACGAAAGCUAGGGGAGCGAAAGGG
rnacentral:rRNA from 1 species